rnacentral:lncRNA from 1 species
GGGAUUCAACUUCCCUGCAGUCGGAUUACACACAUUCGGGACAUCAGUAGUUUGAUCAAGAAUUGGCGUUGGUAUUUUAGUUAUAUAAUAAAAAAUAAAAUUUGCAUUUUUUGGACUGUUGGAUCAAUGUCAGAUGGUCGCCUAUGUCUCGAAUGUGUGCUCCCCUUGACCACAGGGAAUCAAAUUUCCUCUUGCAGCCACCCUCAUGGUCCCGAUUCGGUUAUUGGGAAGUCAACAACGUUCUACAUUGAUUGAAGCAAUGAUUGUAGUUGCAGACUAAUUUAAAACUAGUGUUGUAAAAUAGAGGCUACAGCGUAGUUAAAUUUGAACAAAUUCU